rnacentral:piRNA from 1 species
ACUAUGACUACCUGGUUAUGUCUAUGAC